rnacentral:rRNA from 1 species
UACGAAGGGGGCUAGCGUUGUCCGGAAUCAUUGGGCGUAAAGAGCGUGUAGGCGGCCAGAAAAGUCCGCUGUGAAAACUCGAGGCUCAACUUCGAGCUGUCGGUGGAAACUUUCUGGCUAGAGUCCGGAAGAGGAGAAUGGAAUUCCUGGUGUAGCGGUGAAAUGCGCAGAUAUCAGGAAGAACACCCGUGGCGAAGGCGGUUCUCUGGGACGGUACUGACGCUGAGACGCGAAAGCGUGGGGAGCGAACAGG